AGUGAACGCUGGCGGUAGGCCUAACACAUGCAAGUCGAACGGCAGCACAGGAGAGCUUGCUCUCUGGGUGGCGAGUGGCGGACGGGUGAGGAAUACAUCGGAAUCUACUCUGUCGUGGGGGAUAACGUAGGGAAACUUACGCUAAUACCGCAUACGACCUACGGGUGAAAGCAGGGGACCUUCGGACCUUGCGCGAUUGAAUGAGCCGAUGUCGGAUUAGCUAGUUGGCGGGGUAAAGGCCCACCAAGGCGACGAUCCGUAGCUGGUCUGAGAGGAUGAUCAGCCACACUGGAACUGAGACACGGUCCAGACUCCUACGGGAGGCAGCAGUGGGGAAUAUUGGACAAUGGGCGCAAGCCUGAUCCAGCCAUACCGCGUGGGUGAAGAAGGCCUUCGGGUUGUAAAGCCCUUUUGUUGGGAAAGAAAUCCAGCUGGCUAAUACCCGGUUGGGAUAACGGUACCCAAAGAAUAAGCACCGGCUAACUUCGUGCCAGCAGCCGCCGUAA
rnacentral:rRNA from 1 species